GCCGAAAUCACAAACACAAGAAUGGAUCCAUCAAGAAUCUGUAUAUUCGUAAAAAUGAAGAUGAAACCCAAACCACGGUUUUGUUGUUUUUUGAUUUUGAAUCAUAUAGCACAAUGAUAUGUCCUCUCAAAAACUUGAGUCUGUGUCCAGCUAAUGAGUCCAGAUGCAUCAGCCGACUACAUGCAGAACUAAUUCAACAAUUGUAGCUGAUACUUUACCGCUGAUGGAGAAUGGAACUCAACUGACCCAGACAAACUAGUCCGGGUAACUUCAUGCUAGUUUUGACUGCUGUUCAAUUGCUACCCGGUGCGACCCUGAGAAUGCUAGAAAGAGGGGGAUAUUCCCACUUCUAACUCCAAGGUUACUGCAGAUGUGGCGAAUUUAGUGGAGGAGAUGGACGCGUAAUAAUCCAUCAUUGCAAAAAAAAAAAAAAAAAAAA